GGUACAAAGCAUACAAACACAGGUACUUCCAAUUCAUUUUAAUUCUAAAAGAGCAUCAAGACUGAAAUGCUCAGGAUAUGUUGUGAAAAAGAUCUGCGGAACCUCUGGCACACAAGGUCAGCUACUCCAUAACAGUUUUUCAUUCUCCAUUCUCCAAGAUGUCUGGGGGUGAAGCUGGAACAAAUUCUCAUUCCUUGUGGCAGACCUGACGUUCUGAAGUAGAAAUUUUAUUGAUGAAUUCACAAAGCACACCGAGAGCUUAUCAGUACAAGUGUUGUAUUUGGCAUUGGUUACGGACCCCCACUUUCCCCCAUAUGUUUUCUUUCAUUCCCACCUUUUUUUUCCAUUCACAUCCAUCUCUGGAUGUUGUGGCUGUGGAGACAUUCAUCUUGGACCGACUGCUAAUCAGCAUUGGUCGUUAAACUAGAAAUGUGUUUUUCUCCACUUUUGGGAAAUAUCAGUUUGGGGAAUGCAUUUCUAUGUUUGUUUCUUUAAAAGGGGAUUGUAUCUCAAGGAAUUAAGUUUGGACUUUGAUAUACUAUGAAAAAUAGCUUUUAUUGAAACUAAUCAGUUUAAUGCUAAUGUUGCCAAUCACCAUAAUAACUAUGAUAACAGUUAAAUAGUGAGAGGUUUAUCAAAUCUUGUGUUGUUCCUGGCUGCAUGUAGCACCUACAGCUCUGUAAAUUCUUCUGAUGGAUCCCAAAGUAAGAAACAAGUGUUUUUGUACUUUUUUAAGCUAAUGUUUAUGAUUGAGACCCAACCAAGGGUCCUUUGGGAAUGGUUGGGAUGUGGAUGGAUAGAUAUUUUUUAUAUUUAAAAAAUAUAUAUAUUUAUCAUUUUUAUAUAUACUACCAUUCAAAAUUUUGGGCUCAGUAAAUCCAUUUUUUAAAAAUACAUUUAUGCUUCUAAUCAGCAAUCAUUGUCCAUAUAGAGACCUUCCAUGUACCUCAUAUGUCACCGGCCAGCAGUGAUGACGAAAGACUCCUGACUCUCUUGUCAAUGGUGGUUAGUGGCCUUACCACAUGAGAGCAUUUUUCAAACCCUGCAGUCCCACCAAAAGCUCAUAUUUACUGCGUGUGGUAGAGGUUCCACACUGGAACCACAGAAAACACAUGACCCAAACAUAAACUGCGUACACAGAUGCACAAACACACACACACAAUACGUGCAAAGACUCACCAUCGAUAGAGUCUAUCAUCACACUAGCAACAUGCAAAUUGUCUUGCUCUCCCCUUUCUGUUUUAAUCUUCCUUUUUGUCUUUUUACAAGCAGACAUCCCAAACCAGACCAUAUGGUAGUAGACCAGAGGUUUCAACAUUCUCAAAGCUAAUGCAAACAGAUCUGUGGUUUUGCUGUGUGUGAGAAUGAAGAUAUAGAUACUACAUCUGCAAUCUCGUACUCUGGGCUUCAUGCGGCUGCCAUUAUCCUUUUUACUUGUAGCCACUGUACUGUCAUCAAAAUGACAUUGAUGACCUUGUCAUGUGAAAUUAGUACAAAUCCUGUUCUUAGGAAAUUGAAUUGACCCUGGUUUAAUUGGGUUUAAUCGCUUUCACAAAAAAUGUCCUCUCUUUUACAAAGACUGUUGGCUGUGCUAUGAGAUGGACAUCCUUUCACAUAGAGCUUUCCUUCAUAUAGACUUCCCAUUAGCAGCCAGUAAUACAUGUGGGGAGUCAUUCCUUUGAUUGUGAAGUGUCUCAGUAGUUUUAGUGGUACUUGGCUAUUAUCAUUCUCAGAGGUAACACGCAAAA